rnacentral:rRNA from 1 species
AUGGCCAAUGCAAAUGUGAUGCCAAGGCAUCUACCGCUGCAUUUAUUGGAAGAACUGACUGAUGGUUUCUCCCAAGACCAGGAACUUGGUAGCGGUGCAUACGGCAAAGUUUAUAGGGGUGUAUACAAAGAUGGGAAAAUGAUUGCCGUGAAGAUUCUUUAUGACACGCCAGGAUAUGACGAUGAGCAAUUCGACAAGGAGUUUCACAAUCUUACAAUUCUCCAACAUGAGAAUAUUGUGCAGUUAGUAGGUUAUUGCCAUGAAACCCAGCGAGAAUGUGUGCAGUACGAUGGAAGAAUGGUUCUUGCAGAUGUGACAAAGAGGGCACUUUGCUUGGAGUAUAUGCAAAAUGGAAGCCUUGACAAGUAUCUUUCUGAUGAAUCUAAGGGGCAUGGUUGGAACACACGCUACAUAAUAAUUAAGGGCAUUUGCAAUGGUUUGAAGUACCUUCACGAGGAACUGAAACCUCCUAUUUAUCAUUUGGGUCUAAAACCAGCGAACGUACUGUUGGAUGAGAACAUGAUCCCGAAAAUCGCUGAUUUUGGAUUGUCUAGACUCUUUGGAGAAGAAAAAACCCAAAUCACUAAUAGUCCUAUAGGAACACUUGGGUACUUACCUGCAGAGUAUAUAAAUCAUAACAUAAUCUCAAAUAAGUUGGAUAUAUUCAGCUUGGGUGUUGUAAUGAUAAAGAUAAUUGCGGGACCUAAAGCCUACUCCAGAAGUGCUGAAAUGUCAUCCGAGCAAUUCAUUGACAUUGUACAUGGAAAUUGGAUGAACAGGCUGAAAGCAAUAUCAGAGGAGUCAUAUUUUGAGCAAGUAAAGAGAUGUAUAGAAAUUGCUUUAAACUGUGUGGAGACCGACCGACAGAAAAGGCCAACUAUAGGGAAUAUUGUUAAUACGUUGAAUGAGACAGAGACAUUAGAACAUGAUCAAGCGCCAACUAAAGGGUAUAUUAUUAAUACAUGUUGA